rnacentral:rRNA from 1 species
UCCGUAGGCGGGCGAUUAAGUCAGAGGUGAAAUCCCACAGCUCAACUGUGGAACUGCCUUUGAUACUGGUUGUCUUGAGUUACAGUGAAGUAGAUAGAAUAUGUAGUGUAGCGGUGAAAUGCAUAGAUAUUACAUAGAAUACCGAUUGCGAAGGCAGUCUACUAACUGUCAACUGACGCUAAGGGACGAAAGCGUGGGGAGCGAACAGGAUUAGAUACCCUGGUAGUCC